rnacentral:lncRNA from 1 species
UCACUGCCCUUAAAAAUGAGCAAAAACCUAACAUCCUAAAAGUUGGCAACCAGCAACACAAAAUGCAAACACACACGCAUAAAAGAAAAAGAGCUUCUUCCUCAAAAACUGAGCAGCGACUCGUAGUCUAAAAAAGGGAACGACCUCACUUCAUUUUCUUCUUCAUCUGGAGUACGCCCAAAGCCAGCGAACUCCAUCACCACACACUUAAUUGGGAACGAGAGAGAGAGAGAGAGAGAGAGAGAGAGAGAGAGAGAGAGAGAGAGAGAGAGAGAGAGAUGAUGAGAGAACGAAAAGAAAUGGGGAAAACAGAGAAAAAGGGGGACAAAGGCAUAAUUCUGUCAACAAAUUGUGUAUGCUAAACGUGACUAUCAAAGCAGCCCUCAGAUUUUCCCCUUCCUUUAUUCCUGUGGCUUUUUCGUUUUCUCUAUUUGCAAACUCAUCAAAAUACAAACCUCGUCAUUCUUCAUUUGUAAUGGCUAAGCUUCGUAUUUAAUUCACCGUCAAAAUCAGCCCUUCAAUUAGCACCAAAGUACAGAAAGGCUAACAUACAAGCUUGAGGUUCGACGGAAUUCCAUUUUUUGAGUCAAUCGGGUCAGUGUAUUUUCGUUUGAGGUCUUGUUCGCGGUUUUGCCUUCUUUUGAUUUUGACGUUGUAAAAUGAUCUAAAUUCAGAAUAACAUCUUACGGUUCAUUCUCUUUCUCAUUUUUUCUAAUUAGUUGCUCGUAACUUGUUGUGAUAUUAAGAGUGAAUUAGCAUCUUGUUACGUUAAUUUUACGUGUCUAUUUUGUAAGAUGAUUUACUACAAUUUCUCUUUAAAUCUAAGAAUGACUUUAGGGUUUACCAGUUAAAAAAUAUUCUUUGAAAGCAUAUAUGAAUUCAGUGUUGAAGUUUGAUUUGUUUCUUAGCAGUUGCUUUUGUGUUAAAGUUUUAAUAUUCAUUGAUAAAUGGGUUAAUUGUUCUAAAAGUAAAAUACAACAAUUAGGUCGUGGUCAUAAUGGAAGGAAAUUUUCAACAUCACACAAAGCACCAAACGCAAUGACUAGUCCAAAUAACUUGUCAUAUGUAGAAACAAAUAUGCUUUAAUUUGAGGAAAGUGCAACCUAAAGUGUUUAGUGUUAUUUGUCUUUUGGGUGAUUUAGGAAAAGGUUAAACGAUAUGGUGGUAUUUCUCAUUUUUUGAUGCAUUCUUUUGUAGUAGGUAUUUUGAAGUUGAAAUACACGAUUUUGAUCAUUUGAAAUACAUGAUUUUGAAUUUCUUAAGUUCAUCAAAUUUAAUUUGGGGUGUGAUUUGUGAUUUUAGCAUUGUUUGAUGUGAUUUGAGACCUCGAACAGGUCCGUAUUAUGUUUUGGGACUAGUUGGUAAGAUUGGUUGGGGUCUCGAAGACCUCGGGUGGAUUUCGGAUGGUUAACGGAUCAAAAUUUGAAUUUGAAGAAGAAUUGAUGCAGCUGGUAUCUAGUGUAACCGCACUUGCAAGGUUUUGGCCGUAGGUGCGGAGCUACAGAAGCAGCCCUAGUGUCACAGAAGUGGAAAUGGCUGGGUUUGGCUGGGGCGUAGGUGCGACACAGCUUUCGCAAAAGUGAGACCACAGAAGCGGUCCUAGCCCCGUAGAAGCGAUCGUGGGCGAGUUAGCUAAGACCGUACCUGCGAUAGAGAUUUCCGCAGGUGCGGAGCUGCAGAAGCGGGAGUUGGACCACAGGUGGGAGAAGCGAGUUGGGCAGUGUGUUCUUUUAAGCGAGGGCUUAGCUCAUUUUCACCAUUUUUCCUCCAUGGGAGUCAAUUUUGGAGCAACUUGGGAGUGUCAUUUUCAUCACCAAGCAUGAGGUAAGUGGUUUCUACUAGUUUUGAGUUAAUACUUGAAUUAUAUACGGAUUUGAGCAUGAAAUUUGGUAGAAAAUUGGGGGUUUUUGGUAGGAGACCUAGAAAUUUAUAUUUUGGAUUUUUACCAUGAUUUUGGGCAUGGAAUUGAGAGAAAAUCAUAUAUUUGAGUUCGAGAGGUCAUGGGUAAACUUCAUCUUCGAAAAAUUUUAGAAUCCGGGCACGUGGGCUUGAGGGCGAUUUUGUCAACUUUUCGAGCGAAGUUGGGAUUUUAUAUAAAUUGAAUUGUUAUGAAUAUUAGGGUGUAUUGUUAUUGGUUUCCCCGUUAUUUGGUUAGUUUUGAAGCGUUGGGGCAUUGGUUUGAGUCGUCGGAAGGGCUUGGAAGCCAGUCAUUGGACUUCGGAGCGAGGUAAGUCUCCUUUCUAACCUUGUAAGAGGAAAUUGUCCCCAUAGGUAAAAUAAUUGGUUAUCUGCUUCUAUUUGUGGGGGGAUACGUACGCACGAGGUGACGAGGGUCCGUGCGUAGCUACUAUUAUAUUUAAGUCCGGGUAGUUAGGACCCAAAAGCAUAUUUUACUUGGAAUAUUUGUAAUCUUAUUGACAGUUUGAAUUGCUUAAAUCACAUCGAAUUAGUAAAUGAAUUUAUAAAAAGAUUAAACUUCAUUUUUGUAAAUUGUUAAAAGAGAGUUGGCUUUCUUUGGAUAAUUGUUCCCUGAUGACUUCUUGAUUGACUAUCUGUGUGUGUUUAAUUUUGGAAUGGGCCGAAUGCCUCGGCAGAAUAAAUAGAUGCAUCUAUGGUUCAUGUCAUUCGACCCUCUGGCAGUGCACGAUUUAAAUAUUUGUUGGAUCAGGUCGUACGACCUCAGUAUGAUUUGCGCAUGCUUGAGAUUUGUAAAUUGAUAUUGCCUCCAUGGUCUGAGAUAAAUUGAUAAAUAAUGGAUUAUAAAUUUGGAGACUCCUAAAUGUAAAAGGGGAUGUUUACUUGUUUUCUUGACUUACUUGAGUUUAUUGCCGCUUUAAUGAAUCCAUGAUUAUUCGCAUUAUUUAUAUAUUAUUACUGGACCACUAGUAAGUGUCGAAGUCGACCUCUCAUCUCUACUUCUUCGAGGUUAGACGGGAUACUUAUUGGGUAUACAUUGUUUUCGUACUCAUACUAUAUUUGCUGUACAUUUUGUUGCACAUGUUCAUGUGUGGCUAGUGGCUUAGUGGCGUAGCGGCAUGGUUCAUGCAGGGACUUAGGAGAGCUGCAUCUUGCGAGAUGAUCCACAACAAGCACAGUCUCCUUCAGAGUAUUGUACUGUAUCAUUUCAUUCAUGUCCAAUUGUAUUCCAGACAGUUAUUGUAUUUUAUUUUAUUUCCUAGUAAACGCUCAUGCACUUGUGACACCGGGUUCUGGGAUGAUUGUGGGGUAUUUGUAUUAAUUCC